rnacentral:lncRNA from 1 species
UUGGAAGUAGACACACCAGGACCUGGAUCCAGGAGGAAGAGGCCUGUGUGUGUCAGGGUGGGAGGAGAUGGUAUUUGACGCUAGUGAAAAUGCAGAUUCCCAGGCCCCACCAGCUGCAGUGCUGGCUCUAGGGUGGGGCCAGGGAGUGUUUCUUAAGCACCCUGGGUGAAGCCAACACAGGUGGUAGAGAUCCAGGCUCUUCCCUGGGGCCCGAGUUUGCCACGGGCUUGCACAAGGCUGGGGCAGGUGUGGAUUGUAUUAACCAGUCCCUUAUUAAUCUUUCAGGCUCAGGCCCAUCUGUAUCUCUCUGGAUUCCCCACAACCCGAGGAGGAUGUUCCCGGAUCUCGGAGAGUGUGAGAACUCAAGAGGUGGCAGUUCACUAGGGACUGGGCUGUGUGCCUCAUGGCAAAAGUCCCAGCAAGAACAGGGAAGGACUAGAAGGCACCUGUGGAUGAGGCCAGGAGGAGUCUGGAAAAUCACCGGGGAAUGUUGAUCAGCGAGCACGGUGAGAACCUUGAAACUUUGCUGUGGUCAAGUUCAUCAGUCAUUCUAUAGUUUUUGAAAAACUUCUUUGUAAAAGUCUGUAAUAAUGCGAAGUCCAUGACUUUGAUUCAAAUAGCUUGAGGAUUUGCUAAAGUUUACUUUUGUGUGUGAUAACAGUGUUCCAAUGUACUGACUCUCUGGAUGCACAGGCAGUUGUCUUAAGACUAUGGAAGAGUCUUUCUGUGCUCAUGUGAAAUACCCCCUUUAACAUCUAGUAAACCUAUGUCUCUACCCGGGUUUACGUUUUUUCAUGGGUUUGUGUAUUCCUGCCCUGGUUUUGUAGAGCUUUGUAAUGUUUUUGGUAUCUAGUGGUCAAAGUUUCCUUUUUUCCUUCCCAAAAUUGCCCUAGCUCUUCUGUAUUUCAGAAUAAGUUUGUCACAUUCUACAAAGAAUUGGCCUGGGACUAGGGUUGUGAUGCAUUAAAUUCAUAAAAUUUGGGAAGAACUGACCUACAUCGUUGAGUCUUUCUCAUUCAUGAGGAUAUUAUAAGUCUCCUGUCAUUCAGGAAAGAUUUACAGCUUUUUCUAUAGAGAUCAUUUAAAAUAAGACUUAGCUUUGUGGCUAUUGUUUUUAAAAAGCUUCCUAUUGGCCGGGCGCGGUGGCUCAAGCCUGUAAUCCCAGCACUUUGGGAGGCCAAGACGGGUGGAUCACGAGGUCAGGAGAUCGAGACCAUCCUGGCUAACACAGUGAAACCCUGUCUCUACUAAAAAAAUACAAAAAACUAGCCGGGCAAGGUGGCGGCUGCCUGUAGUCCCAGCUACUCGGGAG